rnacentral:lncRNA from 1 species
UUUUUUGAGUUAAAAUUAUAUUGUAUUGAUCUAAAAAAAAACAGUACACAUAUAAGCUCUCAGCAGUUUACUGGACUAAACUGCUGCUCAGUUCAACUAUCCUAUACAAUCCUUAUCAUUACGCAGUACAUUACAAGUGAUAGGCAAUUCUCGGAUUGAUUUAAGGAUAAUGGUUAAUUUGUCGCAAUCCCUUCAGCCACCUUUUGUUGUUCCUUCCACGAAUGUGAAUGAGUAGAGCAAUUUCCUUGCAAAGUUGCAAAGUUGCUCCUCCAAGUAUACUGUCCCUUCAAAUCGAAUGGCAUUUCUUGUUUUCCAGAUGAGUCCCACAGUUGUGACAAAUGCAGCAGCAGUAAUAGAGAGUUUCCACACUUUGCUUUUGGCAAUA